CCCUGCUAGGUGUGUUAGAAAGAGCUGUCCUUAAUGGGAAGUCUUCUAUGAGCCGGUCACCAUUUUUAGGUGCUAUGCAGAAAUCAUCUAAUUCCCAUAACAACUUAUGAGGUAGGUGUUAUCCCCAUUUCACAGAUGAGAAAAACAAGAUGUCUGGUGUUAAGUAACACUCCCUCCAUCACUAAGGCUGAGGUUCAAAUCUGAUGAAUGUCUGUGUGCUUAAUCAUAUCUGUACACUGGAGGUAGAAAAUGAUCUAUUGUAAAAAUAAUCAUCAUAAUCUGGUAAAGCAGAUCCAUUUAAAUUAAGAGGGAGGAGUAAGGAUUGUAGCAAAGGCGAACUCAAGAGUCCAGACCCAACCAAAAGGGAUAGCUUUGUGACCUGAGAAAAUGUGGUCUAUUGAGGCUAGAAAUUGAAGCUGUUUUCAAGAGAACCUGGGAAUGUGGAAUUUUAUCUCCUGGAUUUCAAAUGUUGGUAAUUACCUCUAAUUAAUAAUAAAAAAGACUUGAGAUGAAGCCUCUGUAAGUGGUCUAUCAGUUUGCAAAUUUUGAUAUACUGCCUUCCCCCAAAAUAUGCUUCGAGCAACUAGGGGGCAGCAUAAGGGUAUGGAGUGUCCCUGGAGGUGGAAAUGGAUAAAAUGAAUGGCAAGUUUAGUCCAGCUCACAGUUUCUCCCGGAGGAAAGCAGACACAGGGAGCACAAAGGUCCUGCUAUCACGUUGCAGAGCAGAGGCCAACGGAGACGGGAGGAGGAUGAGGUAAUGGAAUCAGUACUCCAAAGACCUAGGAACUAAGACAAUUCCCUUCCCUUCUCUGUGCCUACAUUUUCUCAUCUGUAAAAUGAGAACAUGGUACUUGGGGAAGUCUAAGAGACCUUUCAGCUAAGAGAGUUUAUGUCCUAUGGUCCAAAAAGAAGGUAUCCUUGAAAUUCAUUUGUACUGAGGUAAAACAGAAAGGGAUGAAGCUUGGAAAUAAUGGAACAGAAAUUAGCAAGUAUUGAAGACAAAAAAAAGUCAGCUUUGAGUAUACAAUAAAAAAGCCCAUAAACUGAUAGCCCCAUAGAAGUCAAUGAAAUGAAAUGACCCAACCAGUCAGAGACAUGAUGCUGGCGUAUUCAGCCGAGUGGUCAAUGAAGCCUUUAGCGCAUCCCAGCUUGUUCUUAUGGACAUUUUUCUGAAGGCAUCUAUUAGUUUUUUUAAAAGAAAAAAAAGUAACUCAAGUUUUUCCAUUAAAAGAAUAAAGAAUGUAUCUCCAGCCUAAUCUGAGAAACUUAGCAUGAAAAUCCUCUUAUCUUCAUCGCUCCUAAUAACAGACAUUGCUCAGUUAUUCAACUGCUGUCUUGACCUCUGGAUGGUUGGAAGAGCAGAACCAAUGAUCUUAGAAGUAAAGCAUACCAAAAAACUCA